UCACAUCUCCAUGGGGACACCCAGACAGAGGAACUGCUCCCCACAGCUCCAUGGGGAGGAACUGCUCCCCACAUCUCCAUGGGGUAGGAAUUUCUCCCCACAUCUCCACGAGGACACCCAGCUGGAGGAGCUGCUCCUCACAUCUCCAUGGGGACACCCAGCCAGAGGAACUGCUCCCCAGAGCUCCAUUGGGACACCCAGCCAGAGGAACUGCUCCCCAGAGCUCCAUUGGGACACCCAGCCACAGGAACUGCUCCCCAGAGCUCCAUGGGGCCACCCAGCCAGAGGAAUUUCUCCCCACAUCUCCAUGGGGACACCCAGCCACAGGAACUGCUCCCCAGAGCUCCAUGGGGACACCGAGCCACAGGAACUGCUCCUCACAUCUCCAUGGGGACACCCAGCCACAGGAACUGCUCCCCAGAGCUCCAUCGGGACACCCAGCCACAGGAACUGCUCCUCACAUCUCCAUGGGGACACCCAGCCACAGGAACUGCUCCUCACAUCUCCAUGGGGACACCCAGCCACAGGAACUGCUCCUCACAUCUCCAUGGGGUAGGAAUUUCUCCCCACAGCUCCAUGGGGACACCCAGCUGGAGGAGCUGCUCCCGACAGCUCCUGCCCACAUGAAGGACUCCGGAGAUCCCUGUGUGGGAAUUGAGUCCCUGCACCAUCCUGGUCACAGGUGACACCUUGGGAGGAGCUGGGGCUCUCCAGAGGGGUCACUGGUGGCUCAGGGGGCACAGUGGUGGUGUCCUCCUCCAUCCUGGGAUCUGCGAGUGCUUCCCUACAGAUUUUUCUCCCAGAGGAAACUCCAAACCUGCAGCAGGAUCUGGGAUCACUCUCUGCCUUCCCAGCCGGGCUCCUCCUGCCAUCCCGUGGCUGUUCCUCGGGAUUCCGGCAGGAGCUGGAGCCUGGGGCUGCUCCCGAGGGUGAAUUCUGCUCUGACCCCUCACUGCUGGCACGGGACUGGCACAGGACUGGCACAGGACUGGCACAGCCGGGUGCCAGGCGGGGGUGGCCUCAUCCCUGCCCUCCCCUGGGAUGCUCCUGCUGGGAAAUGGGACCCAACAGGACAAACCUCCCCGGGUUUGGCACAGCAGGGCAGUGCCCUCCCUCCAGGUGCCGGAGGUGUGACCCCAGCCCAGUUCGGGUGGGUCGGGCGGUCCCGGCCGUGCCUGCAGGGCGGGUUUGGGGAUUGCAGCGGGUUUGGGUGCUUUGGUUCGGGCUGGGUCUCUCCCCAGAGCUGUGAACAGCAGAUGGCAUCGCUGGGCCGAGCGAUGCAGCGGCACCUCCGGCAGCCCUCCCGCUGUCCCCGGCUGCCCUGGCCGGGUGGCGCUGGACCAGGGCGGCUCUAAAAUCCCAUUUCAGGUGCUGCAAGAUCCAACAAAUAAUGUGGAUGUUGCGCCUCUCCUCCAGUAUUUUAUUCCCGUAGAAACCCCCCCCCCCCCAGGAGCCCAAACACCCACCAGGAGCUGGGACAGGGCUGGAUUUGGGUCCAAAGGGUCUCUGAUGCUGCUGCCUGGGAAAUGUCUCUGGAACUGGGUCUUGCUGCAGCUCCCUGAGCUCUGCAGUGAAUCCCUUGGGAUGAGAGGGCCCCAGAGCUCCUUUCCCUGGAAAAAUGUUGGGUUGGUCACCAGCCAGCUCCUCCUGGCCCUGGGGGGGUGCAGGAUGCCCUGGGCCUGUCCCUCUGCCCCCAAAACCCCCGGGACCCCUCACCCUCCGUGCCUGCUCCUUUAUCCCAACCCAGCCGAGCCUUUGGAGUUUUCCAGCCACAAAAAAAUCCCGGAGCGGCCCCGGCCGUGUCCUUGCCUGAACUCCCCACGCUCGGAGUUGACUGAGAGGCUUUUCAGCCCCGGUGGCUGCUCCAGCACAGAGGCUGAGGGCUGAGCUGGCCCUGCUGCCAAAAAUCAUCAUUUAUGAUCCCCGAGCAGACUUGGUCUGCACAAACAGGAAACUUCCUCAAGGAACAGCCUCCAAAGGAUCCGGUGGUGGAGCAGAAUAAUUCCUGCACCUUGCCAUGGGCUCGGGACACGCGGCUGGGCUGGCCCUGGCUGGUGGGGACAAUAUUUUUGGGGGUCAGUUUGUGGGGACAGCUCCCCAAAGGAGCCCAGCGCGGGGUUGUGUGAGCGCUGCUCCAGCUGCAGCCGGGAAUUCCGCUCUGGAGAGCUGGGAAUUGAGCUCUGGGAUCACCUCUGUCACUGCCAUCCUCAUCCCUGGGAUGUCCCCAACCCGCUGGGGCCACCAGCAGCAGAGUCACCCCUGGCUGCUCCCAUUCCCAGGGAAUCUACCGGCGUUGGAGCGGAUGUGGAGUCACCAUCCUGAGACACAGACACUUCCUGCCCACUAAAUAAAAGCUCCAGCUUUUUUGG